AUUUACAACACUUGCCUGUAAUAUAAACCAAGCUCACUUAUUAUAAAUUUCAUGUCCACAUAUCUGCUCCUUACAAUACUCGAUUACACCAUAACAUACCUUACAUUAUUACAAAAAUAAUAUAACAAUAUAAUGUGUUCAUCAAUACUAUUCUUCCUUUCCAACAACUAUUUCCCUUCCUUUUAUCUUUACCUUCCGGAUCUUUUUGAUCCUUCUGCUCUAUUUGAAAAAUUAAUUAGAAUGCAAGAGUAAGCAACAAAUUUUCUUAGUAAGUUUAAAAAGAAUUUUAGGAUCAUAAGCACGAGUAUGAAUCUCAAUCACUGAAUGAACAUUAUAGAUAACUUUAAAAUUUAUGAUUCAGAAAGGAUCUAAAGAUUUUUGAAAUACUCAGAAUCCACAACAUAACAUCAUAGAAUAUUAAAUUUUGGAUUUCAAUGUCAAUGAAAUUUCAUCACAUCUUUAUUCGUGAGAAUCUCAUUAUUUUAGCGAGCUAACUGAGACGUGGUAGGGACCAUGAACUCUUUUCACAAUGUUCAACAGUCACAAAGACUGCGAACUCUUCGUAGGUUCAACAAUCACAAAGAUUGUGAACUUUCCAUUGGGUUUUAUUAGGUGAUCAACCCAAUAACAUCCCCAAGUUAUGACUUCGUCACAUCCACACCGUACUUUGACAGUGCGCUAAUGAUUCCAUCAUUCCUUCACUGUAAUUAAACGGUAAUAGUCGUCUCGUCCGACACUCCCCUACAUAAUAGGGUUGUUCAUACUCGGUCAUAAGCUUAGGAUCCACACCAAAAUAAUUUGGAUUGGAUUUAAUUAUCUUCAAAGAAAUAUUACUAGUUCAAGAAUUAUCAUAUCUCAUCAUCUGUGUCUAGCGGAACAUAUGGCAUAGACUCAUAAUUUAAGCAAUUCAUGAAUAUCAUGAUCUUUAAGGAAUUAAUUACAAUUCAAUAAAAAACAAUUCAUAAAUGCACAUAAGUGCGGAACUAGAAAUAAGUUGAGGAACUUGCACAAUUUAAAAGAUUAGCAUAGGCUAGAGAACUUGCAUAAUUUAAAGAACUUGCAAUAAUUAGAAAACUUGCAAUCAAGCUUAAAAACUAGAACAACUCAAAGGACUAGCAUAGCUAGGUAAGCCUGUCUUGCCUGCACUUUCCUCGAUUAGGUUAAUCACUUUCUCCAAAUGAUAUCAUACAUCAUCCACAAGGAUUUAUUUAAUUUACUUAUCAAUUACCAAUUAAUAGUUACUGUCGGUAACUAUUUGUAAACUCGUUUUGAUUCCUUUUUAAUGUAAACUCGUUCCCGAGCAUCCUCUCAUACUAUUUUCAUUACUUCACUCUUAUAACGUCCAUACAUCACUAACAUACGCUUAUACGUUCUGUUUAAAUGUAUAUUAACCGAUAAAGUUACUCUACCUUUAUUGAUUUUACUUUAAUUAAUUUUUUCUUAAUUUUUCUUAACUCCGUUUUCUCCGUUAAACCUCCUUAACUAUUUUAUUAUUUUUCUUCCUUUAAGUAAAUAUAUUAUAGACUUACUUUGAUUUUUUUAGAUUUUUCCUUUUGACAUUUAUUAUUUAUCAAGGAGUUGUUUAUGUCCAAAAUUGCAUUAUUUACUAAAAUUCGAAAUUUUCUCCUCGAAUCACUAAAUUUGGACAGUAUCUGCUUUGCACCAACAUUUACUUUCUCACAAAAUUUCAUCUAAAUCCGAGUUGUAAAACUCAAGUUAUUGCAAUUUUAAUUUUAAACUUUCCGUUUUUAUUUUGUCCAUAACUCCUUCAUCUUAAGUCCACUUUUGUUCAUCUUUGACAGAACCUACUCUGUACCUCCAGGUACUUUAAGUGUCCAAAACAGUCCUCCCAAAAACAAGGUCAGUAAGUUUAACAGUCUGCCCUGCUUUGGUAGAAAAAUCACCAAAAAUAAUCUACGUGGAAUUUAUACCUCAAUCGACCUCCGGAUUAUAGCUAACUCACAGAUCUUUCCAACACCACAAACCUGACUGCAAAAUUCAUUAUACACAAAAAGUUGUGUCUUUUACUAUUUCAGGUCAGAUUCUGAAAAUUUUAAGCAAAUCUAGCUUAAGCUCAUUUGUUCUUUCUUUUGCUCCAAUGGAAUUUCUCCAUGAUCCAUGGUAUUCUCAACCAUGAUCCAACAUAUUUAGACCGAUACAUGUAUAAUCCAUGUUUAUAAACAUAAAUCCAAGACUUUCAUAAGAAAAUUGCAUAUAGAAGAGUUUUAGGUAUUACCUUUACUUGAUUUUUGCUUUGUUUCCUCCAAGCUCCAAGUUUUUCUUCUUCUUUCUCCAUGCUUGCUCUUCUAUCUCUUCUCCUCCUCUCUAUCAGCUGAGUAUGGGGUGGGUGGAAGUGUGCUUUUACUGAUUUUUAUCUUGCUUUGUUUGUCUAUAUAUUAAAAGUGGCUUUUUGGUUGGUGGCCAACAAUUGGUCCACCUCUCCUCCAACUUUUUGACUUUAAAAUAAGCCACAUGCAUAUAAGGCCAACAAGUCUCCCUCUUCAUCUCAUCAGCUGACCACAUGGGUCCUUGACCCCUUCAAAAAUAUCUUUUUGUCCUUUUAUUUACUCACUUAUCCAUUUAUUAAUUGUCCGUUUCACCAUUUUAACUUCUAAAAGUUAACUUUUUCGACCCCCUUCGUGAUGAUUACAGUCGAUUCCUACUAAAGUUGACGUCCUUAACAUCAUGGUAACAUCCAUUUUUGUCAAAUUCGUCUUCAAACUCAAAGUUUGACUUUUAAUCCUAAGAGUCAACUGUUGACUUUGACAAUAAAAGUCAUCCCCUACACUCCAUUUUGUUUAUAAUCUUUUCCUACUAAAUUCGACGUUCUGAACUCAAUGGUGUGUUCCGUGUUUCAAAAUUUCGUCCCGAACUCAAAUUUGAGUUUUGGCGUAUUAUAACUUUUCUU
rnacentral:lncRNA from 1 species